UCGCCUGUUUAUCAAAAACAUGGUCUUUUGUUUAUAUAAAAGAUUUAACCUGCCCAGUGAUUAUAUUAAAUGGCUGCAGUAUAUUGACUGUACAAAGGUAGCAUAAUCAUUUGUCUCUUAAUUAGAGUCUAGAAUGAAUGGUUUAAUGAAAAAUUUACUUUCUUUUUUUUAAAUAUUGAAUUUGAUUUUUGACUCAAAAAGUUUAAAUAUUAAUAGAGGACGAGAAGACCCUAUAGAACUUUAUUUUUAUUAAUUAAUUAUUUUUUUGAAAAUAAUUAUUUAUUAAUUUAAUUAAAAAUUUUGUUGGGGUGACAGAAAAAAUUUAAUAACUUUUUUAUUUUUUUUCAUUUAUAUAUGAGUGUUUGAUCCUUUUUUAGGGAAUUAAGAUUAAGUUACCUUAGGGAUAACAGCGUUAUUAUUUUAGAGAGUUCAUAUUGAUAAAAUAGUUUGCGACCUCGAUGUUGGAUUAAAAAUAGUUUCAGGAGUAGAAGAUUGAAUAACUAGGUCUGUUCGACCUUUA
rnacentral:rRNA from 1 species